rnacentral:rRNA from 1 species
UGAGGAAUAUUGGUCAAUGGACGCAAGUCUGAACCAGCCAUGCCGCGUGAAGGAUGAAGGCGUUCUGCGUUGUAAACUUCUUUUAUCUGGGAAGAAACCACAGAUUUCUAUUUGUGUUGACGGUACCAGAGGAAUAAGCACCGGCUAACUCCGUGCCAGCAGCCGCGGUAAUACGGAGGGUGCAAGCGUUAUCCGGAUUUACUGGGUUUAAAGGGUGUGUAGGCGGGCCUUUAAGUCUGGGGUGAAAUCUCCGAGCUCAACUCGGAAACUGCCCUGGAUACUAUUGGCCUUGAAUUAUGUUGAGGUUGGCGGAAUAUAACAUGUAGCGGUGAAAUGCAUAGAUAUGUUAUAGAACACCGAUUGCGAAGGCAGCUAACUAAGCAUAUAUUGACGCUGAGGCACGAAAGCGUGGGGAUCAAACAGG